AAGUAAUGAUUUUGGAUUCUAUGAAUUCAAAAAAUCUAACUUUGUGGUAAUAUUGAAAAAUUGGAUUUGGGUUUAAAGAUGAUAUUUUCUAUUUUUAGAAAGUGUCGACCCAAGCAUUUUUUAUCAACCUCUUUUUAUUAUUUGACUGAAAUUAUCAAGUAUAUUAAUCACAUGAUUAAUAAAAAAGUUAUAAA
rnacentral:misc_RNA from 1 species